GAUGAAGAACGUAGCGAAAUGCGAUAAGUAAUGUGAAUUGCAGAAUUCAGUGAAUCAUCGAAUCUUUGAACGCACAUUGCGCCCCUUGGUAUUCCGAGGGGCAUGCCUGUUCGAGCGUCAUUAUAACCCCUCAAGCUCAGCUUGGUGUUGGGGCCUGCUGCACUGGCAGCCCUUAAAAUCAGUGGCGGCGCCAUCUGGCUCUAAGCGUAGUAAUUCUUCUCGCUAUGGAGUCCUGGUGGAUGCUUCCCAUCAACCCCCAAUUUUUCUAUGGUUGACCUCGGAUCAGGUAGGGAUACCCGCUGAACUUAAGCAUAUCAAUAAGCGGAGGA
rnacentral:misc_RNA from 1 species